rnacentral:rRNA from 1 species
CCUACGGGUGGCAGCAGUGAGGAAUAUUGGUCAAUGGGCUUACGCCUGAACCAGCCAAGUCGCGUGAGGGAAGACUGCCCUAUGGGUUGUAAACCUCUUUUGUCAGGGAGCAACGCCGGCUACGUGUAGCCGGACUGAGAGUACCUGAAGAAAAAGCAUCGGCUAACUCCGUGCCAGCAGCCGCGGUAAUACGGAGGAUGCGAGCGAUAUCCGGAUUUAUUGGGUUUAAAGGGUGCGUAGGCGGAAUGCCAAGUCAGCGGUAAAAUCGCGGGGAUCAACCUCGCUCCGCCGUUGACACUGGUGUUCGUGAGUGGGCGAGAAGGAUGCGGAAGGGGUGGUGUAGCGGGGAAAUGCCGAGA